rnacentral:rRNA from 1 species
CCUUCGGGAGCUUGUACAGGUGCUGCAUGGCUGUCGUCAGCUCGUGUCGUGAGAUGUUCGGUUAAGUCCGCUAACGAGCGCAACCCUCGCUGUGUGUUACAAGUGUCACACGGAACUGCCGGUCAUAAACCGGAGGAAGGUGGGGAUGACGUCAAGUCAGCAUGGCCUUUAUAUCCUGGGCUACACACACGCUACAAUGGGAAGGGACAAUAGGUUGCGAAGCCGCGAGGCGGAGCCAAUCCAGCAAAACUUCCCUCAGUUCAGAUUGCAGGCUGCAACUCGCCUGCAUGAAGUUGGAGUUGCUAGUAAACGCAGGUCAGCCAUACUGCGUUGAAUACGUUCCCGGGGCUU